rnacentral:rRNA from 1 species
AACGAACGCUGGCGGCAUGCCUAACACGUGCAAGUCGAACGAGACCUUCGGGUCUAGUGGCGCACGGGUGCGUAACGCGUGGGAACCUGCCCUUAGGUUCGGAAUAACUCCCCGAAAGGGGUGCUAAUACCGGAUAAUGUCUUCGGACCAAAGAUUUAUCGCCUUUGGAUGGGCCCGCGUUGGAUUAGCUAGUUGGUAGGGUAAAAGCCUACCAAGGCGACGAUCCAUAGCUGGUCUGAGAGGAUGAUCAGCCACACUGGGACUGAGACACGGCCCAGACUCCUACGGGAAGCAGCAGUGGGGAAUAUUGGACAAUGGGCGAAAGACUGAUCCAGCAAUGCCGCGUGAGUGAUGAAGGCCUUAGGGUUGUAAAGCUCUUUUACCCGGGAUGAUAAUGACAGUACCGGGAGAAUAAGCUCCGGCUAACUCCGUG